rnacentral:rRNA from 1 species
UGGGGAAUUUUGCACAAUGGGGGAAACCCUGAUGCAGCAACGCCGCGUGAGUGAUGAAGGCCCUAGGGUUGUAAAGCUCUUUCAGCAGGGAAGAUGAUGACGGUACCUGCAGAAGAAGUCCCGGCUAACUCCGUGCCAGCAGCCGCGGUAAUACGGAGGGGGCUAGCGUUGUUCGGAUUUACUGGGCGUAAAGCGCGCGUAGGCGGCUUGGAAAGUUGGGAGUGAAAGCCCGGGGCUCAACCCCGGAACUGCUCUCAAAACUUCCAAGCUAGAGAUCUGGAGAGGAGGGUGGAAUUCCAAGUGUAGAGGUGAAAUUCGUAGAUAUUUGGAAGAACACCAGUGGCGAAGGCGACUCUCUGGCCAGAUACUGACGCUGAGGUGCGAAAGCGUGGGGAGCAA